rnacentral:rRNA from 1 species
AUACGGAGGAUCCGAGCGUUAUCCGGAUUUAUUGGGUUUAAAGGGUGCGCAGGCGGCCAUUUAAGUCAGCGGUUAAAUCGUGGGGCUCAACCCCAUUCUGCCGUUGAUACUGGGUGGCUUGAUUGCGGUCGAGGUUGGCGGAAUUCGUUGUGUAGCGGUGAAAUGCAUAGAUAUGACGAAGAACACCGAUUGCGUAGGCAGCUGACCAGACCGCAAAUGACGCUCAUGCACGAAAGUGCGGGGGUCGAACAGGAGUAGAUGCCCUGGUAGUGCGCACAGUAAACGAUGAAUACUUGUUUUCGGCGAUAUAAUGUCGGAGGCAAAGCGAAAGCGAUAAGUAUUCCACCUGGGGAGUACGCCGUCAACGGUGAAACUCAAAUGAAUUGACGGGG